UGUUAAAAUUUCAUCUAUUUAUAUUGUUAAAAACUAACGUGCUUAACAAAAUAAUCAAACAGUGACACGUGACGUGUUACAUGUAUAUCGUACUGACGUAUAAUGACCAAUUUUUAAUAGUAUAAAUAAAUAAAAUUUUUAACA
rfam:Gossypium hirsutum cultivar TM-1 unplaced genomic scaffold scaffold413.1, whole genome shotgun sequence